AUCCUUUUAAAAGCACUCACUGGCCCUUUUACUAGUGACCCACUGAGCCAUCAAGAAAGGGUAAAGACAUUGCUUUGGGGUGAAUUUGCAAUGUGUUGUGUUGUUUGGCUAAAAUCAGCACUAUUACAAGG